CGAAAAGCUUUGAAGGAACCAAGUAGCGAACCCUUCCCUGUUCUAGAGAGCCGAUGGUUGGUGCAAAUCGGUACACAUGCGGUAAGUGAAUUUCGAUUCCAGAGCUUCUUUUGACGAGAUCAAAAGACGGUAUAUGCCGUUAUUUCCGAAGAGUGAUGGGCUUGUCCCAUAACUAGGGUGGUACCGCGAUAUCCAAUCGUCCCUACA
rfam:Bacillus marisflavi strain JCM 11544 scaffold2, whole genome shotgun sequence.